rnacentral:rRNA from 1 species
ACUCGCCGGGUGCCUGUUAACAUCCCCGACUACUUUUACAUCACCCCAGCUUUGCAGAUCUACUCCUUCAAAAUUUUUAGACUAAAUGAAAACUUGAACUGGCCGCUCCACGUGUACGGUGUGGUCGCUGCUCGAGACGAUGUAGACAGUAACCGCAACCUUCUCUUCUGCCGGUCGAGGGCUAAUUGCCAAGUACUCACUGAAAAGGAUCCUUUUCUACGCUUGACCGGCCCUUCCCGUGCAAUUCAAGCUAAGGCACCUGUUGACUUUGAAGUCGAACUGAAGAUAAAAUAUGGAACCGAGUCCAAAGAUAUAGCAUUCUUCUGUUCUACCAACCAUCACCAUAUGCACAAUCAUACCGCUUGGUUCCCCGGUUCCUCUUGUGAUGGAGAGAUAAGCCUUCAAACAAUUGGUAGAGCGGUUCAGGCCACUGUCCUGGGUGUUUGCGUACUUGAAGGUGGGCCGCCUUUUGAAUAUGGAUGUCGAGUCGCUUGCUCCCUAUCAUCUGCAGAGCCUAUUGAGGAUCUCCCGUCGAACCAAGUUGUGUUGCUUGAUUGUCACGGUGAACAAAUUCCUGUAGAAUCAGAUGGUUAUCUUAAUCUAUCAAGGAAUGUUGUCACCGCAGAAUUACAAGGAACACUAAAAGUUGUCAUCCAAGCAUACUCGGAAUCUGGUGCUAUUGCUGGACAGGGGGAUGUCGAUUUCCCUGCCCAACAUUGCCAGAUGAGUAGGGGUGUGUGUUUUGUU